rnacentral:rRNA from 1 species
CUCAGGAUGAACGCUGGCGGCGUGCUUAACACAUGCAAGUCGAACGAACGGAGGAGAGCUUGCUCUCCAAAGUUAGUGGCGGACGGGUGAGUAACGCGUGGGUAACCUGCCUCAUGCAGGGGGAUAACAUCUGGAAACGGAUGCUAAUACCGCAUAAACUAUGGAUGACCGCAUGGUCAUUAUAGCAAAGAUUUAUCGGCAUGAGAUGGACCCGCGUUGGAUUAGCUAGUUGGUGAGAUAACAGCCCACCAAGGCGACGAUCCAUAGCCGGCCUGAGAGGGUGAACGGCCACAUUGGGACUGAGACACGGCCCAAACUCCUACGGAAGGCAGCAGUGGGGAAUAUUGCACAAUGGGCGAAAGCCUGAUGCAGCAACGCCGCGUGAAGGAUGAAGGUCUUCGGAUUGUAAACUUCUAUCAGCAGGGAAGAAUAAAUGACGGUACCUGACUAAGAAGCUCCGGCUAACUACGUG